rnacentral:rRNA from 1 species
UCCGUCGGAAUCUGGGAGGACCAUCUCCUAAGGCUAAAUACUCUCUAGUGACCGAUAGUGAACCAGUACCGUGAGGGAAAGGUGAAAAGUACCCCGGAAGGGGAGUGAAAGAGAACUUGAAACCGUGUGCUUACAAGUAGUCAGAGCCCGUUAAUGGGUGAUGGCGUGCCUUUUGUAGAAUGAACCGGCGAGUUACGAUCUGAUGCAAGGUUAAGCAGAAAAUGUGGAGCCGUAGCGAAAGCGAGUCUGAAUAGGGCGUAUAGUAUUUGGUCGUAGACCCGAAACCAGGUGAUCUACCCAUGGUCAGGUUGAAGUUCAGGUAACACUGAAUGGAGGACCGAACCGACUUACGUUGAAAAGUGAGCGGAUGAACUGUGGGUAGCGGAG